GAUGAACGCUGGCGGCGUGCCUAAUACAUGCAAGUCGAGCGAACAGAUGAGGAGCUUGCUCCUCUGACGUUAGCGGCGGACGGGUGAGUAACACGUGGAUAACCUACCUAUAAGACUGGGAUAACUUCGGGAAACCGGAGCUAAUACCGGAUAAUAUAUUGAACCGCAUGGUUCAAUAGUGAAAGACGGUUUUGCUGUCACUUAUAGAUGGAUCCGCGCCGCAUUAGCUAGUUGGUAAGGUAACGGCUUACCAAGGCAACGAUGCGUAGCCGACCUGAGAGGGUGAUCGGCCACACUGGAACUGAGACACGGUCCAGACUCCUACGGGAGGCAGCAGUAGGGAAUCUUCCGCAAUGGGCGAAAGCCUGACGGAGCAAGGCCGCGUGAGUGAUGAAGGUCUUCGGAUCGUAAAACUCUGUUAUUAGGGAAGAACAAAUGUGUAAGUAACUAUGCACGUCUUGACGGUACCUAAUCAGAAAGCCACGGCUAACUACGUG
rnacentral:rRNA from 1 species